GAUAAUUAGAUUCUGUGCGACAGAUGUGGCAGACUAAUGUCAAGUCUUAAGAGGGUGGAUGACUCUUUUAACUAAUAAAAUAAAUCAUAUAGGCCAUUUCUUCUUAAUUUAAGAUACUAAGAUAGUAUGCUUACUUUCUGGCAGAAUUAGGUAUCAAAUCCCAUCUUGCUCUUUAGCUUUCAGGCAACGCCACUUUGCUUAAUGACAACUGACGAAGACACCUUUUUGCCUUUGUCAGUGAGGCAAGUGAAUCCUGUUGAGAAAUUGCCAAAAUGUUCAAUAACAAAAAAGUUCAACAACUCAACAAUGCAAAAAAGUUUCUCCAUCUCAUCCUACGCGAUACACUUUUCAACUUGGGAUGUCUUCAAAUAUUUGAGACCAUUUUAUAUAUAUGUGAUUUUUAUAACUUUCAAAGAUUUAUAAAUCGUUAAAUUAUAAAAUUUUAAAUUUUAGUUUGAUGUUUUCUCUAUCAGAAAAACUUUUAGCAAUUACUUUUAUUUUAUUUGUUUAAUUAAGUUCAAUUUUAUGAAAUUAAACUGAGUAGAGUAGCAUAAUCAUUAAAAAAAAUGGUUCAAAAGUAGCAUCACAAAGUAAAGUACAAUAAGGUGGAUAUGCUUUUCACUUGUUUCUUGCAAAUGCAGACAAAUAAAAUUCAAAUUUGUUAAUAAGUCAUGCAAAUGCCAGAAACUCUUUUCCUUUCAAAUUUACUCACUUUAGAAUGAAGGUUACGGGUUCACCAGGUUAGAUAAGAUUAAGAAUGAAGUUAUUCGAGAGAUAAUGGGGGUGGCCACGGUGGAUGAGAAGAUGCGAGAAGCGAGGCUGAGGUGGUUCGGGCAUGUGCNNNNNNNNNNNNNNNNNNNNNNNNNNNNNNNNNNNNNNNNNNNNNNNNNNNNNNNNNNNNNNNNNNNNNNNNNNNNNNNNNNNNNNNNNNNNNNNNNNNGGUGAGGAGUUGUGAGCGGCUGGCGAUUGUCGGCGUUCGGCGAGGCAGAGGGAGGCCUAAGAAGUAUUGGGGAGAGGUGAUUAGGCAUGACAUAGCUAAAAUGCGGGUUUCCAAGGACAUGACCCUUGAUAGGAUCUGGAGGUCUAGUAUCAGAGUUGUAGGAUAGGGGCUCCUAGAGUUUUUCAUACUCCCCACCCGGGGUUGGGUGAGGCUUGGCAGGGCUAUCCAUAGACGAUUUGUGUUUUGGCUUGUGUCUCCCUUAUGGUAGUUAUUUAUGGUAGUUACUGUACGAUAUUAUUGCAUGCUAUUUUAUUUAUGGUUCUUAUGUUUAGAUAAUUAUUUACGCUAUUUCUGCUGGACUUACUAAUGCUGUUUUGUUUUUGUUUUUGUUUUUCCUUUCCUUUACUGAGCCAAGGGUCGAUUAAAAAUAGCUUCUCUGUCCUUUCGGGUAGGGAUAAGGCUCGUUUACAUAUUAUCCUCCCCAGACCCCACUUUGUGGGACUAUACUGGAUUGUUGUUGUUGUUAACUCAUUCAAGCAAGAGAUAAAUUUCCACUGAAUUAAAGAGAUGGGACAUGCUUUUCAAUCAGCCAAGACUGCAAGACUACAGAGUGACAUUGGACCCCUACAUCCAAAAGGAUUUUGCAAAAAGUUAUUUCAUUUUCAAAUUAAUACACUACUGUACACCUUUUGAUUUCGAAAGAAAUAUAUAUAUAGAGAGAGAGUUUUAGUACAUUAACAUUGUAUACAUAUUUGAUUUCACUUAAAUGCCCUUAAUAGUGGUUCAGCUAAACAUUAAUGAGAACGACAUUUUUAUCUUUUCAUAAAAAAUGCUUUAAACGCAAAUUCUUCUCCUUUUCUUCUCUUUGGCAUUCUUUUACUUUGGCUUCCUCACCCGAUCAGUGAAGGAGUUGCAUAUGAUGUUUUUAUAGUUGGAUGAUUUUGGGUUAUCUUCAUUUACUUUCUGUAAAUAUUUUGUAGUUCUCAAUAUUUUUAAUGUCAGUGAGAAGGCAAAAAUGUAUACCUGUUGUAAAAUUUGGAUAGGUCAAUCGACAUUACUAAGACAAGAGGGGUUGCUCUGAUGGUAAUCAGCUUCCACUUCCAACCGAGAGCUUGUAAGUUCGAGUCUCCCCAAGAACAAGGUGGGAGUCUCUCCAAGAACAAGGUGAGAAGUUCUUGGAGGGAAGGAUGCUGGGGGUCUAUUUGGAAACCGCCUCUCUACCCCAGGUAGAGGUAAGGUCUGCGUAUAUACUACGCUCCCCAGACCUCACUAUGUGGGAUUAUACUGGAUGGUUGUUGUUGUCGUCGUCGUCGUCAAUCGACAAUAAAAUUUCGGUGCAUGGCAACAAUAACUAAGAUUUGAAAUUUUCUCUCCGAUCUCUAAAAUUUUUGGUGUAUAACUGAGACUUACACAACAAUAUGAGAAUAAUGGGUAAUGGGUCUCCAAUUUAAGGCUCUGAGACUUGAUGUCAUGCUAUGAAACGAAAUGGUAGAAGAAAGAGAGAGAGAGAGAGUUGCUGUUGAAAG
rnacentral:lncRNA from 1 species